rnacentral:rRNA from 1 species
UACAGAGGUCCCAAGCGUUGUUCGGAUUCACUGGGCGUAAAGGGUGCGUAGGCGGUCGGGUAAGUCUGAUGUGAAAUCUCACAGCUUAACUGUGAAACUGCAUUGGAUACUAUUCGGCUUGAGAGUUGGAGGGGGACUGGAAUUCUCGGUGUAGCAGUGAAAUGCGUAGAUAUCGAGAGGAACACCAGUGGCGAAGGCAGGUCUCUGGGCCACUACUGACGCUGAGAAGCGAAAGCAUGGGGAGCGAACAGG